AAAGUCGUAACAAGGUUUCCGUAGGUGAACCUGCGGAAGGAUCAUUAACACGUAUCCACGUAUCAACCCCUCUGUGAAACCCUAACUUCGAAAGGUUUGGUCUUAGUGUGUCGUUCGCAUGGGUCCUAAUGAUGGAGCGGAUUUCGGUCUGCUAGGGCUCGAAUGACAUGUGUUUGACGAUCAACCGCCACUUUCCCAUCGUUGGCCCCCUUUUUUAAACCCCUUGUACUUCUUUGUACUGAACCAAUUCUUCUGACGCUCUUUACUGAGUGACGGAUAGAUAUUACGAAACUUAAGAACAACUCUUAGCAACGGAUAUCUUGGUUCCC
rnacentral:misc_RNA from 1 species